rnacentral:lncRNA from 1 species
CAACUUGUUAGAAUGAUGAAUAUCAUCAAAUUCUAAUUUUCUUUUGUGAUCCACAUUGUCAGGUUAGUCCCAUGUCGAUGCGUUACCAUUCCUAGGCAAUAAUUAUGUAUAAGGUAGAUUAGUUGCUUUUCAAUUUUUUUAAUUAUGUGAAUUUUGUUCAAUGCUUUGAACGUUCUUCUACAUAGAAAACAUGUACGCC